GGUGGGUGGGUGCAUGUGCAUGUGAGCAGAGUGGCAUAGUGUAUUAUGGGGUAAAACUCUGGGCCUGAACUUAAUAAAACAGUGACACCAUAAACUACACAACCAGCUACUGUACAACACUGCCAUCUACUGUGUGUGUAUGUGCUGGUGUUACUAUCCUCAUGGGAUACCUGAAAUCCCCACAAGGAAAAAUCUCCCUCAUGGGGACAUUUCCCAGGGCCACACUAGGACAAAGGCUAUUUUAGGCUUAGGGGUUAUGAUUACAAUUAAAGUUAGGGUUUAGGAGUUAGGGUUUAGUUUAGGGUUAGGAGUUAGGGUUUAGGAGUUAGGGUUUAGUUUAGGGUUAUGAGUUAGGGUUUAGGAGUUAGGGUUUAGUUUAGGGUUAGGAGUUAGGGUUUAGGAGUUAGGGUUUAGUUUAGGGUUAGGAGUUAGGGUUUAGGAGUUAGGGUUUAGUUUAGGGUUAGGAGUUAGGGUUUAGGAGUUAGGGUUUAGUUUAGGUUUAGGAGUUAGGGUUUAGGAGUUAGGGUUUAGUUUAUGGUUAGGAGUUAGGGUUUAGGAGUUAGGGUUUAGUUUAGGGUUAGGAGUUAGGGUUUAGUUUAGAUGUAGGGGUUAGUUUAGAGUUUAGUUUAGGGUUAGGGUUAAGGAAAAUAGGAUUUUGAAUGGAAAUCAAUUUUAGGUCCCCACAAGGAUAAUAAUACCAAACGUGUGUGUCUGUGUUUUAUUUCAUGUUUAAUCCCCUCCAAACUCAACUAACUCCUCCCAGUCUGGUCUAGAUAGUACAUCAGGGGUCAGAGGUUAGACAAGGAAGUGUACAUCAGGGGUCAGAGGUUAGACAAGGAAGUGUACAGCAGGGGUUAGAGGUUAGACAAGGAAGUGUACAGCAGGGGUUAGAGGUUAGACAAGGAAGUGUACAUCAGGGGUUAGAGGUUAGACAAGGAAGUGUACAUCAGGGGUUAGAGGUUAGACAAGGAAGUGUACAGCAGGGGUUAGAGGUUAGACAAGGAAGUGUACAGCAGGGGUUAGAGGUUAGACAAGGAAGUGUACAUCAGGGGUUAGAGGUUAGACAAGGAAGUGUACAGGGGGUGUUUUGCAGCUGGCCCGCUGGGUCAGGGGCGACCUCCAACAUGGAAACACGUUACAAUCUAACAAAUGGAAGGGCCACACUUAUCAUCAACAAUGUCACCAAGGAGGAUGCUGGGAACUACACCUGUAAGGCAUACAUCAUACACCAGGAUCCCUCCAAUAGGGUGGAGGGAGAGCUACAGGUUGCAUGGGUUUAUAUAUAUGGUGAAAAACCGGUGCUUUAAAUGCAUGGGGAGAAGUGUAGGAGUAGCACUCUUUGGGAGAAAGGUCGAGAAUUAAGAUAGAUGGACAGCCACAUGAUAUUUAGCAACAUUAAUUGGACUGAAUUGUUUUUGGUAUCUUUAAGUUUGUUUUCAGUGUAUUAAACUAAGUUCAUAUAGCCUAGUUUAUUUAUUUGAUGAUGUUUAAAUGUUUAAAUUGAAAUGGUGCUGGAAUAACGGAGGCAGCUCCUGUUGUCUUUGUGCUGACUUGAGGUAACUCUGUGGGUCUGAAUUAGUAUUUGUUUAGUAAAACUCUCAAAAACAUGAACUUGCUUGACCAUACUGCAGGUCAUUUAACUGUUUGUAUAUGCAAUAUUUGCUUUGUGGACUUCACCAGACAGAUGUCACCAGACAAACAUCAUGCCCCUCCCCUGACAAUCCCACUUACAGUGAUUGAUUGACAGGCCAAACUUUUAAAGGGAUAGUUCACCCAAAUUACAAAACGACACAUUGGCUCUCCACAGCAGGAGAGAAAAUAAAAUAAAUAUUUUGAAAAACAAACAUUGUGGCGUUUCAUAUCUUGCAGUAAAACUGUAAAUAUGACUUUAAUAUCAAGAGAAGACAGGUUUAAUGGUACCAAAAGGUUAUCAUAUAGGCCUAGGACUAGAUCAUAUCCAAAACAACUAACAACACUGAAUUCAUACAUUUUCUGUCAUUUUAAUUGUAAAGUCAUGUCUUUCUACUCAAUACCACAACAAAUGCU
rnacentral:lncRNA from 1 species